rnacentral:rRNA from 1 species
UUUGCGAUCAAGCUACGAAGGGCUUGGGGUGAAUGCCUUGGUGCCAGGAGGCGAUGAAGGACGUGGCAAGCUGCGAUAAGCCCCGGGGAGCCGCAAGCAGGCGUUGAUCCGGGGAUCUCCGAAUGGGGCAACCCGACCGGGGUAAUACCCGGUCAUCACCGGAUGAAUGCAUAGUCCGGUGAGGCGACACCCGCUGAAGUGAAACAUCUCAGUAAGCGGAGGAAAAGAAACCGAAUGGGAUUCCCUGAGUAGUGGCGAGCGAAAGGGGAACAGGCCAAACCGGGGGGACUUGUCUCCCCGGGGUAGCGGGACCUCCAUCAGGGGAUGCGCCAGAGGUUAGCCGAACGCUCUGGAAAGGGCGGCCAUAGACCGUGACAGCCGGGUAGGCGAAAACCCGAGGCCCCCCGGAGGGAUCCCAAGUAGCACGAUGCACGUGAAACUUCGUGCGAAUCCGCCCGGACCACCGGGUAAGCCUAAAUACUCCCUGGCAACCGAUAGUGCACCAGUACCGUGAGGGAAAGGUGAAAAGAACCCCGAUGAGGGGAGUGAAACAGAUCCUGCAACCCCAUGCCUACAAGGUGUCGGAGCCGCCGCAAGGCGGUGACGGCGUGCCUUUUGCAUAAUGAGUCCGCGAGUUAUUGUCCGCGGCGAGCUUAAGGCCCUCAGGGCCGGAGGCGAAGCGAAAGCGAGUGCGAACAGCGCGUUGAGUCGCGGGCAAUAGACCCGAAGCGGAGGUGAUCUACCCUUGGGCAGGCUGAAGCCUGGGUAACACCAGGUGGAGGGCCGAACUCGUGGAUGUUGAAAAAUCCUGAGAUGACCUGAGGGUAGGAGCGAAAGACUAAUCAAACCCCGUGAUAGCUGGUUCUCCCCGAAAUCGCUUGAGGGCGAGCGUCGGGCCAGUACCCGGAGGAGGUAGAGCACUGAAUGGCUUAGGGGGCCCACCAGCCUACCAAAACCAAUCAAACUCCGAAUGCCUCCGGUUCCAGUACCCCGGCAGUCAGGCUACGAGCGAUAAGGUCCGUGGCCGAGAGGGCAACAGCCCAGACCACCGGCUAAGGUGCCUCAAGGCGGUUUAGUGGAAAGGAUGUGACGUCGCUUAGACAGUGAGGAUGUUGGCUUAGAGGCAGCCAUCAUUUAAACAGUGCGUAACAGCUGACUCAUCGAGCGAUGUCGCGCCGAAAAUGAUUGGCGAUCAAACCGCCUACCGAAGCCGUGGAUCCGCAGCCGGUACGCCGGCGGCGGAUGGUAGGGGAGCGUGACCGGUGCUGUGAAGCGGGAGGGAGACCGACCGUGGAGCGCCGGCCAGUGAGAAUGCGGACACGAGUAGCGAUAAACCGGGUGAGAAUCCCGGUCGCCGUAAACCCAAGGUUUCCUGGGCCAGGUUCGUCCGCCCAGGGUUAGCCGGGAGCUAACACGAGGCCGUAGGGCGUAGUGGAUGCACAGCAGGUUAAUAUUCCUGCGCCGGGCAAGGAGUUGGCCUGAAGGGGACGCAUGGAAAGACGCCGGCUAGGCAAUCGAAUGCUGAGCUUAGGCUUCGGCCGAAGCGCACCGGUGUUGACCGUGCCGAGAAAAGCCUUCAGGUGCGCCUUGUCCGCCCGUACCGGAAACCGACACAGGUGGGUGGGUGUCAAUGCACUCAGGCGCGCGAGAGAAACCUCUCUAAGGAACUCGGCAAAUUGGCCCCGUAACUUCGGGAGAAGGGGUGCCCCCCGGGCCCGCCGCAAGGCGGGAACGGUGUGGGCCGCAGUGAACGGCGCUUGGCGACUGUUUAACAAAAACACAGCUCUCUGCAAAGUCGUGAAGACGACGUAUAGGGAGUGACACGUGACCAAUGCGGAAAGAUGAAAGCGCUCGGUUAGCCGCAAGGCGAAGCCGCGCGCCUAAGUCCCCGCGAAUGUCGGCCGUAACUAUAACGGUCCUAAGGUAGCGAAAUUCCUUGUCGGGUAAGUUCCGACCUGCACGAAUCGUGUAACGACCGAGCGACUGUCUCGGAGAGGUUCUCGGCGAAACUGUAAUGGCGGUGAAGAUGCCGCCUGCCCGCAGUAGGACGGAAAGACCCUAUGCACCUUUACUGUAAGCUCGUAUUGGGUUCUGGUUGGUGCUGCGUAGCGUAGGUGGGAGGCUUGGAAGCGGGGGCUUCGGUUCCCGUGGAGCCGCCAAUGAAACACCACUCUGCGCCAAUUAGGAUUCUAACCCCGACCCGUGAAGCCGGGCGGGGGACAGUGCGAGCGGGUCAGUUUGACUGGGGCGGUUUCCUCCUAAAAGGUAACGGAGGAGCGCGAAGCUCGGCUCAGCACGGUUGGCAACCGUGCGGUGAGGGCAUGGCCAGAAGCCGGGUUAACUGCGAGACCUACAAGUCGAGCAGGUGCGAAAGCAGGCCCAAGUGAUCCGGCGGUUGAAUGUGGAAUCGCCGUCGCUCAUCGGACAAAAGGUACGCUAGGGAUAACAGGCUGAUCGGGCCCAAGAGUUCACAUCGACGGCCCGGUUUGGCACCUCGAUGUCGGCUCAUCGCAUCCUGGGGCUGGAGAAGGUCCCAAGGGUCCGGCUGUUCGCCGGUUAAAGCGGUACGCGAGCUGGGUUCAGAACGUCGUGAGACAGUUCGGUCCUUAUCCACUGUGGGCGCAGGAGGCUUGAGGGAUUCCUUCCCUAGUACGAGAGGACCGGGAAGGACGCACCUCUGGUGUGGCAGUUGUCCCGUCAGGGGCAGCGCUGCGUAGCCAUGUGCGGAAGGGAUAAGCGCUGAAAGCAUCUAAGCGCCAAGCCCCUCCCAAGAUGAGGCCUCCCGGACCGCAAGGUCCCUGAAGACCCCCGGAAGACUACCGGGUUGAUAGGCCAGACGUGUAAGCGGAGCAAUCCGUUCAGCCGACUGGUCCUAAUCGGUCGUGCGGCUUGAUCGUUUAUC